rnacentral:rRNA from 1 species
AGUGAACGCUGGCGGUAGGCCUAACACAUGCAAGUCGAACGGCAGCACAGUAAGAGCUUGCUCUUACGGGUGGCGAGUGGCGGACGGGUGAGGAAUACAUCGGAAUCUACUUUUUCGUGGGGGAUAACGUAGGGAAACUUACGCUAAUACCGCAUACGACCUACGGGUGAAAGCAGGGGAUCUUCGGAACUUGCGCGAUUGAAUGAGCCGAUGUCGGAUUAGCUAGUUGGCGGGGUAAAGGCCCACCAAGGCGACGAUCCGUAGCUGGUCUGAGAGGAUGAUCAGCCACACUGGAACGGAGACACGGUCCAGACUCCUACGGGAGGCAGCAGUGGGGAAUAUUGGACAAUGGGCGCAAGCCUGAUCCAGCCAUACCGCGUGGGUGAAGAAGGCCUUCGGGUUGUAAAGCCCUUUUGUUGGGAAAGAAAAGCAGCAGGUUAAUACCCCGCUGUUCUGACGGUACCCAAAGAAUAAGCACCGGCUAACUUCGUG